UACGAAGGGGGCUAACGUUGUUCGGAUUUACUGGGCGUAAAGCGCACGUAGGCGGAUCGUUAAGUCGGGGGUGAAAUCCUGGAGCUCAACUCCAGAACUGCCUUCGAUACUGGCGAUCUUGAGUCCGGAAGAGGUGAGUGGAACUCCUAGUGUAGAGGUGGAAUUCGUAGAUAUUAGGAAGAACACCAGUGGCGAAGGCGGCUCACUGGGCCGGUACUGACGCUGAGGUGCGAAAGCGUGGGGAGCAAACAGG
rnacentral:rRNA from 1 species